GUCAGGAGUGGAUUUCCUCUGACACUGUGGAAAUCCACGCAAGCAUAUGUGGUGAAAGAGCUUGUAAUGAAACUGAGGAGAGCCAGGCACAUCCGACUGAAAGCAUUUCUGAUGUCAUCAGAGUACUCCAUGAAAGGGUGGACAACACAGCUAUAUUCAGCAUCUGUGUGACGAGGGAGGACAUGCUUGAAAGGGGGAUGAAGCAAUGGCAGCGCUAGAAAAAAGCAUCCCCCAAAAACCCUCUUAGGGUAACAUUCCUCGGAGAGACCAGGAUUGACAACGGGGCUCUGAGGAAGGAGUUUUUAACUGAAAUGGUGACAGGUAUACAGAGCAGAUUCUUCAUGGGAGGGGACAAUGGCAAAACCCUCAAGUAUUCAAUGACCGACAUGGACAAACACCACUUCAAGACUGUCGGAGAGAUAUUGGCAGUGAGCAUUGCUCAAGGUGGACCACCCCCAAAUUUCUUCAUGGAUUGGUGUUACAACUACAUGUCCACUGGAGAACUGGACCAGGAAGCGAUCACUGAGAUGGCUGUUACAGACCCAGAACUCAUUGAUUUAAUACAAGAGGUA